UGAGAGUUUGAUCCUGGCUCAGAUUGAACGCUGGCGGCAGGCCUAACACAUGCAAGUCGAGCGGUAGCACAGAGAGCUUGCUCUCGGGUGACGAGCGGCGGACGGGUGAGUAAUGUCUGGGAAACUGCCUGAUGGAGGGGGAUAACUACUGGAAACGGUAGCUAAUACCGCAUAAUGUCGCAAGACCAAAGUGGGGGACCUUCGGGCCUCAUGCCAUCAGAUGUGCCCAGAUGGGAUUAGCUAGUAGGUGGGGUAACGGCUCACCUAGGCGACGAUCCCUAGCUGGUCUGAGAGGAUGACCAGCCACACUGGAACUGAGACACGGUCCAGACUCCUACGGGAGGCAGCAGUGGGGAAUAUUGCACAAUGGGCGCAAGCCUGAUGCAGCCAUGCCGCGUGUGUGAAGAAGGCCUUCGGGUUGUAAAGCACGGUUCAGCGGGGAGGAAGGCGUUAAGGUUAAUAACCUCGGCGAUUGACGUUACCCGCA
rnacentral:rRNA from 1 species